UACGAGGGGGGCGAGCGUUGUUCGGAAUUAUUGGGCGUAAAGGGUGCGUAGGCGGUUUGGUAAGUCUGAUGUGAAAUCUAUGGGCUCAACUCAUAGUCUGCAUCGGAAACUGCCGGGCUUGAGUGCGGCAGGGGAGACUGGUAAUUCCUGGUGUAGCGGUGGAAUGCGCAGAUAUCAGGAGGAACACCGGUGGCGGAAGGCGGGUCUCUGGGCCGUUACUGACGCUGAGGAGCGAAAGCGUGGGGAGCGAACAGG
rnacentral:rRNA from 1 species